rnacentral:RNase_MRP_RNA from 14 species
CCAGGUGAAAGUCCCCGGACACUCGGACAGAAAGUGUUGGAUCUUGAUGAUUGGACCCUUUGAUGAGUCCUCUGUUGCGUUGGUGGGCACACGUGGGAUCGUUGAUCCAGUGGCUCCUUGUCUCUUGUUCCUUCAAUAAGGGUACAGCUUGUGAUGCUUUUGCGGCUGUCGGUACUAGGAGACCGAGUAACUUCUACCGCACCCUGGUGGAGAUGUUGUCCCUAUUGGGAUGACGGAGCCUGGGGGGUGGAGGGCGACUUGUUGAACAGUACAUACAACGUGGGACGUCCGGCUCUAGCUGAGUAUGCCCUACUUAAGGAUAGGUUGAUCGAUGGAGGAGUGAGGGUUCUCGCUGAACGUUUGGAACUGCCGUUCGGGUAGAGCGGCAAGUCGUUGGGAGCUUGGGACAAGCGCCCACCCUGGCUGGGAAAGCGGAUGCCUCCUUUCGAUUUUUGAAAGUUGAUGGCUGAGGCCCAACCAGCUCGAGGUUGUGACUCUUCCUCUCCUCCUUCCUUGCUGCCCUGUCGGUGGUAACCCUCUCGCCAAGCAGGUCCUUGUUCCUGCUCGAUCAAUCAUGGGGACGAGGGCUGGAGAACAGGAACACGGUAACUUCUUUCGCUCACGGAGAGACCCAAAGGCGCUCGUCGAAAGUAGAGGCGGCCCUCCGUCUCACCAUGAUAGUAAUUGGAAUGGACCCCGAUCAUUACAUGGUCGAUGGUUAACACAAUGGGGCUUACUCUUAGU